rnacentral:misc_RNA from 1 species
AAGGUUUUGAAUUCAAAUUAUGAACUACUUUGUGAGCUUAAUUUAAAUAUUUUUGUUUUAAUUAGGCAAUACUUAUUAAUUACAAUAUAUUGUUGAUAAUGGUAACGUGUAAUGCAGUGUAUUGUAAUAAUAGAUCAACUUUGACUUAAAAGUUUCCUGGCUUAUCGACCAAGAAAAUGUUUAAUUUUCCAAAAGACAUCAAUCGUAGGAAGUUGUGGAUAAAUGCCAUCAAACAUGCGAAUUGGACUCCCACCAAGACUCAAGAGUUUCUCAAGUUCAGUUUAAAGAAUCAAUGUUUCUGCAGAAGUCUUCAGAAGGACGGUGGCAUUUGGUACAUGAUGCAAUUCCUACUUUAUUUGAACAUUAUUAAGAUAAAAAACAAACGAAAGCUUCCGUUUAACCGAAAAAGAGACGCAGAAGAACUUCAAAGGGAGCAAAGAAUUCUAAUGUUAGAACAUUCGUUUGUUGAAACACAUGGGACAUCUAAUAAGGAAGAUUAUCCAGAUCAAGAAGCUCAAAAACCAUUCUCAUCAGACAUUUUUAUACAAGGAGCCCCUGAGAUUGAAGUUUUAACAGACGUACCAUGCUCUAAUUGUAUCAAUUUAGGAGCGGCAAAUAAAUCUUUAUCUGCAAAAAUACAGCAUCUUCAAGUUAAAAUUGUCAGAAACAAGGCAUCAAUUAGGUCAACUAAAAAAAAGGCGUAAAAAGAUAUAGAAAAAGCUCAGUUUUUUUCCAAAACCUAUAUUGAAGGGUUCUUGAAUGAUGAUCAAUUAAGAUGUUCAUCCAAGAAAGGAAAUAACUCUAUGAUCAAUGGGUCAAGUCCAACAGUUAAAAAACCACUAAAAUUAUGAUUUGCUUAUGGUUCGUCAGGGUAUGAAUCUCUUCUUGAUCAAGGAUUUCCUGUACCCUCACCGAGGACACUGCGCAGGAAAACUGAAGGCAUUUCAUUUGAAAGCGGUAUUUUGAAUGAUGUUUUGACGUUUAAAAUAACGACCUUCCGUUAAAAAGACAAAAAUUGUUUACUAUCGAUGGAUUAAAUGGUCAUCAAAAAGUCUAAAGACUAUGAUCAACGGCUAGACUAUCUAAUGGGCCAGGUCACUCUUCCAGAGCACACAUGCAAAUAUGCGGCACAUAUUCGUGUGAUCAUACUCGCUAGAAUUGCAAGUAGAUGGAAGCAAGUUGUUGGUUACUUCUUUACUCCAGAUUCAGUUAAUGGGUCUGUACUG